CGGGGGGAGCAAGCGUUGUUCGGAUUUACUGGGCGUAAAGGGCGCGUAGGCGGCCACCGCAAGUCGACUGUGAAAUCUCCGGGCUUAACCCGGAAAGGUCAGCCGAUACUGCGGGGCUAGAGUGCAGAAGGGGCAACUGGAAUUCUCGGUGUAGCGGUGAAAUGCGUAGAUAUCGAGAGGAACACCUGCGGCGAAGGCGGGUUGCUGGGCUGACACUGACGCUGAUGCGCGAAAGCUAGGGGAGCGAACGGGAUUAGAUACCCCCGGUAGUCCUAGCCUUAAACGAUGAAUGCUUGGUGUCUGGGGUUUUAUAGUCCCCGGGUGCCGUCGCUAACGCUUUAAGCAUUCCGCCUGGGGAGUACGGUCGCAAGACUG
rnacentral:rRNA from 1 species